rnacentral:rRNA from 1 species
GAUUAACGCUAGCGGAAGGCAUAAUACAUGCAAGUCGAACGGGAUAGAACUUAGCAAUAGGUUCUUGAGAGUGGCGCACGGGUGCGUAACACGUAUGCAACCUACCUUUAACUGGGGGAUAGCCUCUCGAAAGAGAGAUUAAUACCCCAUAGUAUAACCGGAGAGCAUUUUUUGGUUAUUAAAGAUUUAUCGGUUAAAGAUGGGCAUGCGGCUGAUUAGGUAGUUGGUGAGGUAACGGCUCACCAAGCCAACGAUCAGUAGGGGGUCUGAGAGGAUGUCCCCCCACACUGGUACUGAGACACGGACCAGACUCCUACGGGAGGCAGCAGUAGGGAAUAUUGGACAAUGGGGGCAACCCUGAUCCAGCCAUUCCGCGUGCAGGAAUAAGGCCCUAUGGGUCGUAAACUGCUUUUGUAUGGGAAAAAAUCAUCUUACGUGUAGGAUGUUGAUGGUACCAUGAGAAUAAGGAUCGGCUAACUUCGUGCCAGCCGCCGCGGUAAUAC